rnacentral:rRNA from 1 species
CAUGCAGUCGAGCGGUAACAGAAAGUAGCUUGCUACUUUGCUGACGAGCGGCGGACGGGUGAGUAAUGCUUGGGAACAUGCCUUGAGGUGGGGGACAACAGUUGGAAACGACUGCUAAUACCGCAUAAUGUCUACGGACCAAAGGGGGCUUCGGCUCUCGCCUUUAGAUUGGCCCAAGUGGGAUUAGCUAGUUGGUGAGGUAAUGGCUCACCAAGGCAACGAUCCCUAGCUGGUUUGAGAGGAUGAUCAGCCACACUGGAACUGAGACACGGUCCAGACUCCUACGGGAGGCAGCAGUGGGGAAUAUUGCACAAUGGGCGAAAGCCUGAUGCAGCCAUGCCGCGUGUGUGAAGAAGGCCUUCGGGUUGUAAAGCACUUUCAGUCAGGAGGAAAGGGUGUGAGUUAAUACCUCACAUCUGUGACGUUACUGACAGAAGAAGCACCGGCUAACUCCGUGCCAGCAGCCGCGGUAAUACGGAGGGUGCGAGCGUUAAUCGGAAUUACUGGGCGUAAAGCGUACGCAGGCGGUUUGUUAAGCGAGAUGUGAAAGCCCCGGGCUCAACCUGGGAACUGCAUUUCGAACUGGCAAACUAGAGUGUGAUAGAGGGUGGUAGAAUUUCAGGUGUAGCGGUGAAAUGCGUAGAGAUCUGAAGGAAUACCGAUGGCGAAGGCAGCCACCUGGGUCAACACUGACGCUCAUGUACGAAAGCGUGGGGAGCAAACGGGAUUAGAUACCCCGGUAGUCCACGCCGUAAACGAUGUCUACUAGAAGCUCGGAACCUCGGUUCUGUUUUCCAAAGCUAACGCAUUAAGUA